rnacentral:tRNA from 1 species
GAGGGUAUAGCUCAGUGGUUGAGCGCAUGCUUGGCACGCACAAGGUCAUGGGUUUGAUCCCCAGUAUCUUUA